GCCAUACUGGGAUAGCUCAGUUGGUAGAGCAUGAGAUUCUUAAUCUGAAGGCUGUGGGUUCAAGUCCCAUGUUGGGCA
rnacentral:tRNA from 1 species